GCCAGUAUGGUGUAGUGGUUUGAAAGUUGGACUACAACUCUGGAGACCAGGGUUCAAUUUCCAGCUUAGCCA
rnacentral:tRNA from 1 species